UACGUAGGGGGCUAGCGUUGUCCGGAAUCAUUGGGCGUAAAGAGCGUGUAGGCGGUUCGGUAAGUCCGCUGUGAAAGUCCAGGGCUCAACCCUGGAAUGCCAGUGGAAACUGCCGAGCUAGAGUCCGGAAGAGGAGAGUGGAAUUCCUGGUGUAGCGGUGAAAUGCGCAGAUAUCAGGAAGAACACCCGUGGCUAAGGCGGCUCUCUAGUACGGUACUGACGCUGAGACGCGAAAGCGUGGGGAGCGAACAGG
rnacentral:rRNA from 1 species